AUCCUUUUGUAAUUCGUAGGCGGAAUGAUUGGGUUUUUCAUGCUCAUGGGUGAGAUGUGCCUCCCUCAUACCUUGUUAGGACAUCUGCACAUUACCCAUGUGAUG